GACGAACGCUGGCGGCGUGCUUAACACAUGCAAGUCGAACGGAAAGGCCCUGCUUUUGUGGGGUGCUCGAGUGGCGAACGGGUGAGUAACACGCGAGUAACCUGCCCUUGACUUUGGGAUAACUUCAGGAAACUGGGGCUAAUAUCGGAUAGGAGCUCCUGCUGCAUGGUGGGGGUUGGAAAGUUUCGGCGGUUGGGGAUGGACUCGCGGCUUAUCAGCUUGUUGGUGGGGUAGUGGCUUACCAAGGCUUUGACGGGUAGCCGGCCUGGGAGGGUGACCGGCCACAUUGGGACUGAGAUACGGCCCAGACGCCUACGGGAGGCAGCAGUGGUGAGUAUUGCACAAUGGGCGGAAGCCUGAUGCAGCAGCGCCGCGUGCGGGAUGACGGCCUUCGGGUUGUAAACCGCUUUCGCCGGUGACGAAGCGUGAGUGACGGUAAUGGGUAAAGAAGCACCGGCUAACUACGUG
rnacentral:rRNA from 1 species